GACGAACGCUGGCGGCGGGCUUAACACAUGCAAGUCGAACGGAAAGGCCCUGCUUUUGUGGGGUGCUCGAGUGGCGAACGUGUGAAUAACACGUGAGUAACCUGCCCUUUACUUUGGGAUAACUUCAGGAAACUGGGGCUAAUGCCUGAUAGGAGCUCCUGCUGCAUGGUGGGGGUUGGACAGUUUCGGCGGUUUGGGAUGGACUCGCGGCUUAUCAGCUUGUUGGUUGGGUAGUUGCUUACCAAGGCUUUGACGGGUAGCCGGCCUGAGAGGGUGACCGGCCACAAUGGGACUGCGAUACGGCCCAGACUACAACGGGGGGCAGCAGUGGGGAAUAUUGCACAAUGGGCGGACGUCUGAUGAAGCAACGCUGCGUGCGGGAUGCCGGCCUUCGGGUUGUAAGCCGCUUUCGCCUGUGACGAAGCGUGAGUGACGGUAAUGGGUAAAGAAGCACCGGCUAACUACGUG
rnacentral:rRNA from 1 species